UUCAAUUGCAAACCAUUUAUUUGGAGUGUUCUUGCAUAUGAUCUGCUCCGAUCACUCACAUUCAAAUGUUGAAUCCCGCAAUUGUAUUUAUUCAUCAAAACUAAUUUUAGGGAAAUUACAUGAAGAUGCAUGAAAAAUCAAAUUCUUAAAUUGUUUCAAAUACAACUGAAGACUAACGGAAACUGACGGAAAAUUCAAGCAACAAACAUGCAAAUAAAUAUUUGACUGGUACAAGUAGUGCGAUCCCAUCACUGGUCUGUAGGGGGCAGCAUCAACACAAUAAAUAAAUAGAUGAAUGAGAUUUACUAUCGAGGUUAAGAAACAAAACAACACACAACACAUGUUGAAUACGCAGCAUGUUCUCCCCCUGCAGAGUUAUUAAAUCAGGAAACACAACAUCUGUCAGACGUCAUGAGUGGACUUUUGGUUGAAUGUUUCAAACCAGCUGCUUGGGUUCAGACGAGCCCUGGACUUCACCUCGGCUGGAGUGUUUUAGUGCACAGAUGUGUCGGCCCACAUCUGUCGGCCCACCUACCACCAGGAGGGACACUGCGGGUCUUUCUAGAACCAUCCAGAUGUUCUAAGCUACAAUGGGCAGGAAGUGAGAAACAUCUGGACAGGUGGAAAUACGAGCUCUGCUGAGACGAUCGGACUGAGAGGAAGAGGAGGUACAAUCAGGGAGGAGGAGGAGGAGGAGGAGGAGGGGAGAGGGAGGAGGGGAGAGGGAGGAGAAGGCACAAUCAGGGAGGAGGAGGAGGUGAGGAGGAGGGGAGAGGGAGGAGGAGGGGAGAGGGAGGAGGAGGAGGGGGGAGGGAGGAGAAGGCACAAUCAGGGAGGAGGAGGAGGAGGAGGUGAGGAGGAGGAGGGGAGAUGGAGGAGGAGGGGAGAGGGAGGAGGAGGAGGGGAGGAGGAGGAGGGGAGAGGGAGGAGGAGCUGAUGGAGUAGAGCAGGAGGUGAUGGAGGAGGAGGAGGAGGAGCUGAUGGAGUAGAGCAGGAGGUGAUGGAGGAGGAGUGGAGGGGAGAGGGAGCAGACGAGAGAAGAGGAGAUAGUUGUUGAUAGUCGUGUUCCCGAUGACCACUCAGUAGAAGAAGUACACUGCAGGGAGAAGGAGACCGAACUGUUAGUCAGUAAACGAGGUGGAACUUUACUAGAACUCUCUUCUGUAAGAAGAGGCUGGGGCCUAGAGGCUGGUAUAUACCAGUGUUAUUAAAGGUGUAGUAUAUAUACUAGUGUUAUUAAAGGUGCAGAAUAUAUACUAGUGUUAUUAAUGGUGUAGUAUAUAUACUAGUGUUAUUAAAGGUGUAGUAUAAACACUAGUGUUAUUAAAGGUGCAGACACACUAGUGUUAUUAAAGGUGUAGUAUAUAUACUAGUGUUAUUAAAGGUGUAGUAGGUAUGGUUUAAGCGUGGGUGGGAUUUGAGUGAAGGGGCGGGACUUACAGAACAGCACGCCCACACAGAUGAUCCCAAUCACAGCCAUCAUGAUCAUCAUCUGAAAAACAAAGACACACACAUUAGAGAGAGAGAGAGAGAGAGAGAGAGAGAGAGAGAGAGAGAGAGAGAGAGAGAGAGAGAGAGAGAGAGAGAGAGAUAGAAAUAUCAUAGAGAGGAGAGAGACCAGGAAACAUGAGAGAGGUGUCAAAGAGAAAGAGAA
ensembl:lncRNA